UACGAAGGGGGCUAGCGUUGCUCGGAUUUACUGGGCGUAAAGGGCGCGUAGGCGGUUUGUACAGUCAGACGUGAAAUUCCUGGGCUCAACCUGGGGGCUGCGUUUGAUACGUAUGGACUUGAGUUCGGAAGAGGGUCGUGGAAUUCCCAGUGUAGAGGUGAAAUUCGUAGAUAUUGGGAAGAACACCGGUGGCGAAGGCGGCGACCUGGUCCGAUACUGACGCUGAGGCGCGAAAGCGUGGGGAGCAAACAGG
rnacentral:rRNA from 1 species